GGCGCUGUGGUGGAAUUGGUAGACACGCCUGAUUCAAAAUCAGGUUCCUUCGGGAGUGACGGUUCAAGUCCGUCCAGCGCCACCA
rnacentral:tRNA from 8 species